rnacentral:ncRNA from 2 species
GGUUGUCACUAGGGGAGCCAUUUGGGCUGAGACUGAAUCCAUAGAUUCUAAACCCUCUGAACCUGAUCUGGAUGAAACCAGCGUAGGGAAGUGGAGAGCACUCGAA